ACUCCACACCAUUAUUUACUCCUGCUGAAACUUAGUCUCUCAUAUUAUUAAUUCAUUUUCUUUCCCUAAUUCACAAACUAGUCUUUCUGCGUAACUAAGUGCACUCUGUUAUACUACGUCUUUAUCUUUGUUUUUUGCAUGCCAUAGGUUAAGCUCUAACGAUUCCUUUCACCACGCUCAUUACAGACCAUAAGCUCGAUUGCAAAAUCUCUGUUUUCCUAAAACCUUAUAUACUGGUUCGUUAUACUGAGUAUGCGUAUGUUUUUAGGCUCUACUACAUUUCCUUCUAACAGUCUCCAGGAAGUGUUAUCCCAGUAUCCUGUAAUACUGUAUCAGGUAAGAAGGUUUACCAUUUUUGUUUCCAGUUGUAUUUGUCUUCCCCUGAGGCCUCAUCCAGCCUCCAUGGCCUCAUUCAGCCUCCACCCCUCCGCUCCCCACCCGAAGGUGGUUUCUAAACUUCUAAACGGGCCACGGCAAAGACCCUGCACUGCAAUUUCUAUAACAGUCACCUCCUAAACCAACACCACUUUGCUACUACUAAUUUUAACGAUACAUUGCUUGUCUGUCUUUCGUUUCAUUACUUAGACCUGCUUCAAUACUGCAUUCUCGCCAAAUUUCUAUGCCAUCAACCACUAGCAGCCCACCUGGUAUCCCGUAUUUCAGUACCAGGUAUUGUUAAUCUUACUCACUACGAUUACGUUCUCCUAAAGGCCUCACUCCACCUUCUUAUCAUUUAAAUUCACAAUUGUGGGAACCCAGGGGCUUGUCUCUAACUACGGACCAACGUUCAGGUCCCUCAUCUUACACGGGUUCUUACGUUACAGUAUCAUUGAUACACACCUAUCCAUACGUUUGACAUUUUUACACGAGGCAUACCAGUGGCACGCUCAGGGCCUACUAGCAUCUAUUUUACCCCAUGGAUACCUUGGUCGGACCUGUUCCCUUCAGAAGUAAGUAUUAUUAUUAUUAUUAUUAUUAUUAUGUUAUUUAUAUAGCGCCAUCAAAUUCCGCAGCGCUUUACAAUGGGUGGACGAACAGACAUGUAGUUAUAACCAGACAAGUUGGACACACAGGAACAGAGGGGUUGAGGGCCCUGCUCAAUGAGCUUACAUGCUAGAGUGAUUGGGGCAAAAUGACACAAAAAGGUAAGGAUAGUAUUAGACUAGUGACAGUAUAUAUAUUGAAGACUUCCCGUGCCUCGUCCAAAGCAAUAGGACCAAUACUCAAGGUUAGUAUCUACAUACGUUCAAGUACAUAAUAGGCGCUGGCCUUAGCUACCCUAAGUAAACACACCGGUCACGCAAGAUUUACUCUCCACCUCAACACGCAGGUUUAGCCCAACGACCAAAUCAUAGUUAGCCACCUCGUUCACCCUUCUUUAGGGCUACAGCUAGGGCUUCCCAAGUCACGGCCACACGUUUUGAAUCUCUUACAGUCACCGCCACCACAAAUUCCCUCAGCCCAAACCAUAGGGCCACUUGCCACUUGGCACUAGCAGGGCCUCACCUGUCACUUGGUUCUCGUUAAAUUCUUUGCCUCGGCACUAGUUAGUAGGCCAGUUCUCCGAAGGUCUCAUUCCCCCCUCCACCACACCCUACUUAUUCAUAUCAUUAUUCCUUUUUCAGAAUGUCACAAGAAUCCAUUCUCAUCAUCGAUCUGCCGUCGGACGAAAUACCCAGCACGCCAGUUAGGCCUGAGUCUCCAGAGUAAUCCCUUACCCAGGCCAACGAAAAACAGGCCCGGCACUAGUUCACAAGGAACCACACCCUACUAACCCCUCAGUUUCCACUCAGGAGACCCUGACUGCUAUUCUGGUCAACCUCCAUACGAUGAACAGGCUGCUACAAGUGGAAAUGGCCAUCCCAGGUGACUUGACAGUCCCCCCCCCCACCCUGGUUGUCUCGGCCGUUCAGGCUGGCAUACCCCUCCUUCCCCCUCCCCCUAGGCCUCCAGCAACUAUCAAAAACACAUAUGUCUUAUCUGCUCACUAUGGAGUUUUGCCUCUGUCCUGGGAGAUAAUUGGAUUAAUUCCCAAUUAUCUCCAGGACAGAGGGAGGGAAAUUAGGAUGCAUUGUGGGGAUGUUUUACCUCUGUGUGUCUGUCAUUGGUUCAUGUCUGUCCUUUG
rnacentral:lncRNA from 1 species